rnacentral:misc_RNA from 1 species
AAAACUUGUUUAUAGUAUGCAUUUUACAAGAAAAGCUUUAGCAUACAAAUUUACAUCCACCAAGGUACACAGCAAUGUAUAAAAAAAAAAAUGUGGUAUAUCUAUGACUACAUAGAUCCUAAAAUUACAGUGUGCUUGAAAAACUUACAAUUGAUUUUAUGUGGGAUGAAUACCUGCCCUGCCCAAACCUAUUAAGAAGGCACUAUAGUUACUUCCAGUCAGUAUCUCUUCUAAACUUUUUAGCUUGAAAAUUUAGAACAACAGAAUAAACAAAUCGCGAAUUCCUUGUGCACUGAAUAAGUUGCAUAUGUCUCCAUUUUCUGAGAGCUCAGCAGAAAUAGAAAAUGUGUAUCAACUAUCAUGUGAAGUAGGAUAGUGCAUUCCAUCUUUUAGGUGGCUUACUGCUGUGGGACAAAACCAUUUCAGCAUGCUUGGACCCAAUACCUGAUCAAAGGCAAACGAAUUAGAAUUUUAAUGAACU